rnacentral:rRNA from 1 species
UACGUAGGGUGCGAGCGUUAAUCGGAAUUACUGGGCGUAAAGCGUGCGCAGGCGGUUCGUUGUGUCGGCGGUGAAAGCCCCGGGCUUAACCUGGGAAUGGCCGUCGAAACUGGCAAACUGGAGUGUGGCAGAGGGGGGUGGAAUUCCGCGUGUAGCAGUGAAAUGCGUAGAGAUGCGGAGGAACACCGAUGGCGAAGGCAGCCCCCUGGGCUGACACUGACGCUCAGGCACGAAAGCGUGGGGAGCAAACAGG